rnacentral:rRNA from 1 species
AGAGUUUGAUCCUGGCUCAGAAUGAACGUUGGCGGCGUGGAUUAGGCAUGCAAGUCGAGCGCUCAUCAGCAAUGGUGGGAGCGGCGAACGGCGUAGGAAUUCAUAGGAACGUACCCUCAGGUCGGGGAUAGCUACGGGAAACUGUAGGUAAUACCCGAUGAUCUCUGCGGAGCAAAGGUGUGAUUCCGCCUGAGGAGCGGCUUAUGCGAUAUUAGCUAGUUGGUGAGGUAAUGGCUCACCAAGGCGAAGAUGUCUAGGGGGUGUGAGAGCAUGGCCCCCACGACCGGAACUGAGAUACUGUCCGGACACCUACGGGUGGCUGCAGUCGAGAAUCUUCCGCAAUGGACGAAAGUCUGACGGAGCGACGCCGCGUGCGGGAUGAAGGCCCUUGGGUUGUAAACCGCUGUUAGAGGGGAUGAAAUCUUCGGAGGUACUCCUCCGAAGUUGACAGAGCCUCAAAGAG